rnacentral:misc_RNA from 1 species
AAGUCGUAACAAGGUUUCCGUAGGUGAACCUGCGGAAGGAUCAUUAACGUAUCCAAACGUUAAAACAACCCUGUGAACCUUCAGCGUGUUCUUGCAGGACAUCAAAACAGCAAUCCCGAGUAAAUCAGGCGCUAAAGAAUUACAGAUUUUGAUUUUGGGAAGUUCUGUGUGUACGUGGACGCUGCGCUAGCUAAAGCACCCUGGUACCGUAGAGCACUCCCUGUCUGAAAGCGGCAUCAAUGUUCAGACGAUCGCUGUAGGUCCACACGACCGGCGACCGGGGUGGAGGCGAAAGCCUACGUCAUCCCUAUGUACUCUCCGGGACUUGGCGAAAGCUGACUCCGUCGUAAAUCGAACAACUGUUAACAAUGGAUAUCUUGGUUCUC